UUGAUGGUAGUCUAUACACAUCCAUAGAUACCCAUCCUUUUUUCACAUGAGAAUAAUAGGAGCACCCUAAGUAAAGAUAUUGGGACGGAUAAUACCCUUAUUAGGGAGAUCCUUUAAUUUCUCCUUUAGUUCUUUCAGCUUUGCCGGAGCCAUUCUAUAAGGAGUAAUAGAAAUAGGAAGGGUAUCCAAUAGAAGAUAAAUCCUAAAGUCUAU
rnacentral:lncRNA from 1 species